GUCUACAGCCAGACCACCCUGAAUGCACCUGAUCUUGUCUGAUCUCAGAAUAUAAGCAGGGUCAAGCCUGGUUAGUACUUGGAUGGGAGAACUUUUACUCUUAAAAAAAAUGGAAAACACUGGGAAAAUGGACA
rnacentral:rRNA from 1 species